rnacentral:rRNA from 1 species
CACGUAGGGGGCAAGCGUUGUCCGGAUUUAUUGGGCGUAAAGAGCUCGUAGGCGGUUCGGCAAGUCGGGUGUGAAACCCCCAGGCUCAACCUGGGGACGCCACCCGAUACUGCUGUGACUCGAGUCCGGUAGGGGAGCGUGGAAUUCCUGGUGUAGCGGUGAAAUGCGCAGAUAUCAGGAGGAACACCAGCGGCGAAGGCGGCGCUCUGGGCCGGUACUGACGCUGAGGAGCGAAAGCGUGGGUAGCAAACAGG